CUGUAUGGGAAGGUCUUAGAAUCUACAAAGGCAAAGUAUUCAAGCUUGAAGAACAUCUAGAGCGGCUGUUUGAUUCAGCAAAGGCUCUAGCUUUCAACAAUGUCCCAACCCGCGAUGAGGUAAAAGCAGCCAUCUUCAAAACUCUCAUAACCAAUGGGAUGUUUGACAAUACACAUAUAAGACUGUCUCUAACCCGAGGCAAAAAGGUCACUUCUGGAAUGAGCCCUGCGUUUAACCGUUAUGGAUGCACAUUGAUCGUCCUUGCUGAGUGGAAGCCUCCAGUAUAUGACAACGAUAAUGGAAUUGUGCUGGUGACUGCAACU